CAUCUGUAUGGGAACUGCUGAAUCACUGCCUGAGCCUCUGAUUGAUCACCUGAGGUGAACAAUGAGUCAGCCACAGGAGCACAGGUGAAGGCAAUUCACCUGUGCUGCUGGAAGGGGUGGAGCCUGGCUCCAUCUCUCCUAGACCCAUUUAAGAGCUGAUUGCAAAUAGGAAAGGAUCUCUUCUGGAGAUCCCUCCUCUGGAGUUUUGCAGUGGGCUCAGGAUAUGGAAAUGCAAGAUCUUUGAUAAAUGAGGAAAAACCACAGGGAGGCCAGAUCUGGAACUGAUCAAGGAAAUUACGAGAAACAAGCUAGUGGUCAGACAAAAACUUUGGGUAUCUCACUAUCAGAAAGACUGAACUUACCUGGAUGAAGGUUUUGUUUUGUUUCUAACUACAAGUGUUCCUGGCUUUCCAUUACCAGGACUUGUUCUUCUAUGGCCUGGCACCAAAUGCUUGCUUUCUUGAUGUAAGAACUAAAAGUGACAGCCCCUUCUAGGCUUCUGCUGACUUCACAGGAUAAUCAGGACAUAGAUAUACUGAUUUAGUAUGGUGCUGAGGAAGAUAGAGAAAGCUUAUAGUCUCAGCACCGGACAGAUCUCCAUGGCUCUCCUAAGAUGUAACUGAAGUUCUGCAGUUAUGUCACAGCCUCAGCUUCGCUAGUUUAGCUAACUACAGCAGCAAGGUUUCAGUGACAGGAAGUCAAGUCACCAACAAAAUAUCUACCAAGGUGAAAUCCAGUUCCUUGUGGAUUCAGCACCAUCACCACCAAUUACAGGUAACAUAAAGCAAGCUCAGUGUCUAUGUAGACUGCAACUACAACUUAUCGUACAGAUACAGCCUUGGAGUAAAAUCAUCCUCUUGAAGCUGGAAGGACAGAUUUCUGAGGAAGUGAGAAUGAAAAGAAUGUAUUUCCUAUGUAUUAAAUUGCACUGUGAUUUUUCAAACAUUAACUUACACUCACUGUUUAGACCAUUGUUAUGUUUUCCAACAACCUUUAAGUAGGGUGAAAUGAGCUAAUACAGAUCAAAAGAACAGUUUUUUAUUUAUACAGUGAAAGAUUCCCUGUUUUGCGAGUUGUUGCAUUUUGUAUGAAUUGGUAGGGAAAUACUUUUCACCUGUUUGCAGCCCAUGGCAAGGCAGAGAAGGACCGCAUGCCAAGAGAGCACUAUUUUCUGAAGUGAGUGUAAGAGCAUCCACUGAUAAGACAGCAAUCACAGCUACACUCACCUUGAAACCGAUGCACUCAAAAGUGCCUGGCUUCUCCACGUCCUUUUCCACCACUGUUUGACUCUGGGUUUCCAACUCCAAGGUGACAGCCAGGUGGACAUCCUCAGUGACGGAGCUGAGGUGAAUACAGAGCUGCUCCUCUUGGAAACGGUGAAUGACAGCAGGGAACACCACCAUGUACUGACUAGAAGAGAGGAGUGGGGGGGGGGGGAAUUUUUUUUUUAAGAAACAUCCAGAAGUUGAGACAGACCAGAAUCCAUUUCUGCUGCUUUCAUGAACAGGUAGAAACGAGAGGUCAGAAAUGUCUAAGGGCUGCAGAAUUGUCAUGCAGCUCUCUUUCCAUAUCUUUCCAUAUCCAGAAACGGCAACAUGCCUCUUACAUGUUUGUCAUCUUUCCGUUAGCCAGGACAGAACUGCUCAAUAGCAAGUACACAGAAACAAAAUGGUGGUGUGAGAAAUUAUACUGAAAAUUCAGUGACCAAAACUUCAGUUUCACUUCAAAUUUCACCUCUGCCAGCGCAGGAUGAACAAAGGGAAGAUUUGUGGCUUCUAUAGGUUUUUGGUGUGGUGCAGUACUACAUUGCUAGAACAGCUUCUUCAGU